rnacentral:lncRNA from 1 species
UCAAGGGAUUUGUACAGCCCUAUAGGAGACACCUCCAGAGAAAGUAACAACUCUCAGUUGAUUAGCUGAGGUAUGUAUGUCAUUUAUGGCAAUACCUGUCUCCAUCCCCUCCGUCUUCUUCUAGGAGACCAAUUUUGUAAAUUGCUACUUUUCUAACAACAGUGGCACAGGUGGCCCAGCAUUCUCCCUUUUCUCAGAGCUGGUUUUCCAUCCUGGAAAGAGGUCUUACAUAUACAAAGUUACUCUAAUCAGUUGUGAGCUGAUACCAUCAGCAUUCUUACUGAAGAACUCCUUAGUGAAAUAGGGAAGUUCAUAAAAUGCUUGUGAGAAGAUGGAAUAAAUAGGAAUUUCUGUAUUCCUCCUGAUAAGUACAACUAAAAACCCUGGACAUUAUUUGUAAAACAAACUGAAGAAGACUCUGAAAGGUAGAAAGGAGAAAGCAGACCACCUAGGGAUGCAGGACUCAAGGAACAAAAUGAAGAAUAAACAGAUGCUUUUACAGCUCGCAUUGGUGGGAAGAUCUGGCACAAAUGAAGU